rnacentral:rRNA from 1 species
GGAAGAAUCUGGAGACAGGUGCUGCAUGGCUGUCGUCAGCUCGUGUCGUGAGAUGUUGGUUAAGUCCCGCAACGAGCGCAACCCUUGCCUUUAGUUGCCAGCAGUUCGGCUGGGCACUCUAAAGGGACUGCCGGUGUUAAACCGGAGGAAGGUGGGGAUGACGUCAAGUCCUCAUGGCCUUUAUGACCAGGGCUACACACGUACUACAAUGGCCGAUACAAAGGGCAGCGACACUGCGAGGUGAAGCCAAUCCCGUAAAAUCGGUCUCAGUCCGGAUUGGAGUCUGCAACUCGACUCCAUGAAGUUGGAAUCGCUAGUAAUCGUGGAUCAGCAUGCCACGGUGAAUACGUUCCCGGGCCUU